UUAAAGGCGUUGAAGGGAAGAGUAAAUUAUUUCAUACUUUUAGAGAGAGAAGACUUUAAGCUGAAAAUCUUCUUAAGUUACGAUAGUUGAAGACCACCCCUGAGCUGAAUCCAAAACAUUAAAGGAUUAUCGCUUUUAAGGCGUUAUUAAAUUUGAGAACCAACUAGGGUGGAACCACGAUAGAAUAUAACCUUUCGUCCCUACA
rnacentral:ncRNA from 1 species